rnacentral:rRNA from 1 species
GGAAAAGGAUGUGGGAUUUCGAAGACAACUAGGAUGUUGGCUUAGAAGCAGCCAUCCAUUAAAAGAGUGCGUAAUAGCUCACUAGUCGAGAGGUCCUGCGCCGAAAAUGUCCGGGGCUGAAACACACCACCGAAGCUCAGGAAUGUAUUUGAUACAUUGGUAGAGGAGCAUUGCAUACAGGAGGAAGCAGUACCGGAAGGAGCUGUGGACUGUAUGGAAGAGAGAAUGCCGGAAUGAGUAGCGAGAGGAAGGUGGGAAUCCUUCCGGCCGAAUAUCCAAGGUUUCCAGGGUAAAGCUGAUCUGCCCUGGGUAAGUCGGGGCCUAAGGCGAGGCCGAGAGGCGUAGUCGAUGGACAACAGGCAGAAAUUCCUGUACUGCUGUACAACAGAACUGUGGGGACGCAGAAAGAGAGCGCGAGCCGGGAAUGGAGAGACCGGUGCAAGCGAGGUACCAGUCUGAUUGGAAAAACCGUCAGGCAAUGGGAAGACGUGAUGCGGAGCGAAGAAAAAGUAGCGAAGCGCGUGAGCUGGCUGCCAAGAAAAGCCGCUAUUGUUUGUACAGUACCCGUACCGUAAACCGACACAGGUGGAUGAGGAGAGAAUCCUAAGGCCGACGGGAGAAGCAUUGUUAAGGAACUCGGCAAAAUGACUCCGUAACUUCGGGAGAAGGAGUGCCAGUGAGAGCUGGCCGCAGAGAAUAGGCCCAAGCAACUGUUUAGCAAAAACACAGGUCUAUGCGAAACCGAAAGGUGAGGUAUAUGGGCUGACGCCUGCCCGGUGCUGGAAGGUUAAGGGGAGAGGUUAGAUUUAGGUCGAAGCUUUGAACUUAAGCCCCAGUAAACGGCGGCCGUAACUAUAACGGUCCUAAGGUAGCGAAAUUCCUUGUCGGGUAAGUUCCGACCCGCACGAAAGGCGUAAUGAUUUGGGCACUGUCUCGACAAUGCACCCGGUGAAAUUGAAAUACCAGUGAAGAUGCUGGUUACCUGCGCCAGGACGGAAAGACCCCAUGGAGCUUUACUCCAGCUUGAUACUGGGAUUCGGUAUUGCAUGUACAGGAUAGGUGGGAGGCUAAGAAGUGGUGACGCCAGUUGCCAUGGAGCCGCUGUUGGGAUACCACCCUUGCAGUAUUGGGUUUCUAACCAGCAGCCGUGAUCCGGCUGGGGGACAAUGUCAGGUGGGGAGUUUGACUGGGGCGGUCGCCUCCGAAAGGGUAUCGGAGGCGCUCAAAGGUUCCCUCAGAAUGGUCGGAAACCAU